rnacentral:lncRNA from 13 species
CUCCUAAUCAACUGUGCUAUUUUGAUAGCUUUUUCGCAUUUAUUGUAACUCAUUUUAUACAUAAUGUUGCUACCGUCUCUUAUGACCGAAAAUAGCUUCGGGACAAAGAUUACAGAACAGCAAUUACUUACCUGGACAAAUAUUUUUUCUUUAAUGAGUCCGAUGCGAAGGAUACACUGCUUUGUCAAGGUAAGGCCCAAAUCCCUGUCAUCAGAGUGAAGAAAAGACAGAUUAAAAGAGGGAGAAGGGCGGGGUGCCUUGUAAGAAUACGCCGACAAGUAGGUAAACACCCACUACCUUCGGUAGUAUUGUCUGUUAGGUUCUAAAUGAACCUCGUAAAACUCACGGACGAUUAGUAAAGCUUGAACCAAGUUUAUUCACCCAUUGGGUCAUACAGCUGUAUAACGCAAAAUACAUAUUCACACAAGCAUUGAUAAUUAACCCUUUCUCCUAUGCUGGGCCUCCUUCUACACAUCUGAACAGCCAAUGCAUCUAUGUUGCUAGACAGAACCUUAGUGAUAUCUGUUCUUCCUCACUUCAUCUGACCUGACUUCGACCCUAAAUUUCUCACUCCUCCCCAACUCACAGCUGUCAUGUUAACUUGUACCAGACUGUGUCUCUUCUCCUCCCAUAGGAUCCCUAACGGCUAGCAAUAGCAUAUCCGGACAGAAUGUUAACAUUAUACAUUCCCCUCUCUCCCUCAGUGACUUGAAUAAGCAUAUUUCAUAUUUUCAGAGCCCAAUUGUCAUGUACUGUCAUGUUGUGUCUUGUCUCUGUCCUUUCCCUUCACCCUGUCUCCCUCUGCUGGUCGUUGUUAGGUUACCUUUUCUCCCCCGCUUUCCCCUCCCCCAGCUGUUCCUUGUCUCCUCUGACUACCCAUUCACCCCGUUUCCCACCUGUUCCCUUUUUCCCUCUGAUUAGGUCCCUAUAUCUCUCUCUGUUUCUGUUCCUGUCCUUGUCGGAUUCUUGUUUGUUGUGUUUCAUGCCUGAGCCAUGUUUGCUGUAACCUUGUCCUGUCCUGUCGGAAUCUGCCGGUCUAUCUGAGCCUACCUAUGUUUGGUUAUUAAAGAAGCUCUGUUUAAGUUAGUUCGCUUUUGGGUCCUCAUUCACUCACCAUAACACCAAUAUGGCCAAUGUGUAAUCAUUGGAAAACAAACUGGACGAUCUUUGAUCAAGACUAUUCUACCA